rnacentral:rRNA from 1 species
UGAGGAAUAUUGGGCAAUGCCCGCAAGGGUGACCCAGCAACGCCGCGUGGAGGAUGAAUGUCGUAAGAUUGUAAACUCCUGUUAGAGGGGAAGAAUAGUACCGGUUGGACCGGUAUAUGACUGUACCCUCAGAGAAAGCCCCGGCUAACUACGUGCCAGCAGCCGCGGUAAUACGUAGGGGGCAAGCGUUGUCCGGAUUUACUGGGUGUACAGGGCGCGCAGGCGGGAUAAAAAGUCAGUGGUGAAAUCCUACAGCUUAACUGUAGAACUGCCUUUGAUACUUUUAUUCUUGAGUUCGGGAGAGAGAGACGGAAUUCCUGGUGUAGUGGUGAAAUACGUAGAUAUCUGGAAGAACACCAGUUGCGAAGGCGGUCUCUUGGUCCGACACUGACGCUGAGGCGCGAAAGCGUGGGGAGCAAACA